rnacentral:rRNA from 1 species
UUCGUGUGAACAGUGGUUGAUCACGAGUUAGUCGGUCCUAAGUUCAAGGCGAAAGCCGAAAAUUUUCAAGUAAAAUAAAAUCAAAUUAUGUGUCAUUUUAUCGAUUUUUAUACACUUGAAUAAUUUUGAACGAAAGGGAAUACGGUUCCAAUUCCGUAACCUGUUGAGUAUCCGUUUGUUAUUAAAUAUGGGCCUCGUGCUCAUCCUGGCAACAGGAACGACCAUAAAGAAGCCGUCGAGAGGUAUCGGAAGAGUUUUCUUUUCUGUUUUAUAGCCGUACUACCAUGGAAGUCUUUCGCAGAGAGAUAUGGUAGAUGGGCUAGAAGAGCAUGACAUAUACUGUUGUGUCGAUAUUUUCUCCUCGGACCUUGAAAAUUUAUGGUGGGGAUACGCAAACUUCUCAACAGGCCGUACCAAUAUCCGCAGCUGGUCUCCAAGGUGAAGAGUCUCUAGUCGAUAGAAUA